rnacentral:rRNA from 1 species
AACGCUAGCUACAGGCUUAACACAUGCAAGUCGAGGGGCAGCAUGAACUUAGCUUGCUAAGUUUGAUGGCGACCGGCGCACGGGUGAGUAACGCGUAUCCAACCUUCCGUACACUCAGGAAUAGCCUUACGAAAGAAAGAUUAAUACCUGAUGGUAUGAUGAGAUUGCAUGAAAUCAUCAUUAAAGAUUCAUCGGUGUACGAUGGGGAUGCGUUCCAUUAGAUAGUAGGCGGGGUAACGGCCCACCUAGUCGACGAUGGAUAGGGGUUCUGAGAGGAAGGUCCCCCACAUUGGAACUGAGACACGGUCCAAACUCCUACGGGAGGCAGCAGUGAGGAAUAUUGGUCAAUGGGCGCGAGCCUGAACCAGCCAAGUAGCGUGAAGGAUGAAGGUCCUACGGAUUGUAAACUUCUUUUAUAAGGGAAUAAAGUCACCCACGUGUGGGUGUUUGUAUGUACCUUAUGAAUAAGCAUCGGCUAACUCCGUGCCAGCAGCCGCGGUAAUACGGAGGAUGCGAGCGUUAUCCGGAUUUAUUGGGUUUAAAGGGAGCGUAGACGGGUCGUUAAGUCAGCUGUGAAAGUUUGGGGCUCAACCUUAAAAUUGCAGUUGAUACUGGCGUCCUUGAGUACGGUUGAGGCAGGCGGAAUUCGUGGUGUAGCGGUGAAAUGCUUAGAUAUCACGAAGAACUCCGAUUG